AUUGAACGCUGGCGGCAUGCCUUACACAUGCAAGUCGAACGGUAGGGGGGCAACCCCUGAGAGUGGCGAACGGGUGAGUAAUGCAUCGGAACGUGCCCAGUUGUGGGGGAUAACGUAGCGAAAGCUACGCUAAUACCGCAUACGACCUGAGGGUGAAAGGGGGGGGAUCGCAAGACCUCUCGCAAUUGGAGCGGCCGAUGUCAGAUUAGCUAGUUGGUGGGGUAAAAGCCUACCAAGGCGACGAUCUGUAGCUGGUCUGAGAGGACGACCAGCCAGACUGGAACUGAGACAAGGCCCAGACUCCAACGGGAGGCAGCAGUGGGGAAUUUUGGACAAUGGACGAAAGUCUGAUCCAGCCAUGCCGCGUGCAGGAAGAAGGCCUUCGGGUUGUAAACUGCUUUUGUCAGGGAAGAAAUCCCUUGGGAUAAUACCUCGGGGGGAUGACGGUACCUGAAGAAUAAGCACCGGCUAACUACGUGCCAGCCGCCGCAGUAAGAC
rnacentral:rRNA from 1 species